GAUAGGGAGCCAAUCAAAAGUUAUGUACAAGUUCAAGGGGCAAAUCACCAGUAUACCCUAUUUGUAAUGUCUUUCCUGGUAAAUAAAGUAACCUCCAAUGAUGGUUCAUCAAAAGAAAGGUUAGCAAUUUCAAGUAUCCUAACACCUUCUUCACCCAAGCUAUCAAAUCCAUCUCCAACAACAUCCCACAUUUGAGUAACACCUUCUUUGUAACUUGGGCUCUUCCUUGAUAAAAGACAAAGAUUAAUAGGCACAAAUACCAAGUAUUAAGCUCUUUGGAGUGUUAACUUGUUUCUUCUUAAAGAGUGAAUGAAACUACAUAUACUCCAAUUUCUUUCACAACACGAGUAGGAACAAUGUUGUCGCAGUAGUUUCAAAGCUAUGGAUUAGAGAGUUGGUGUCACCGCCCGAUUCGAGAAUAAAGAAUAUGGUAUUGUAUGACUAUGGUAUGACUCACACCCUGAUUCGGGAAUAUUUCUUAUUCUCGAAUCGAGUGGUCACAGUUGGUGUUGAAGCUCCAUGAACAAUCCACCAUCAUUGGUUCCAUGUGAAACCUAUCAUUCAUAGCAUCAAUAGCUCAAAAGUUGUCUAAGCACAUUGAAAAAGAGGUAUACUCCACAUUGUUAUCUCUUCUAGUCCGGUCAUCUGAAAAGUAUUUCUCAAGACACUUUUUUCUUUCUAUUGUAAUCUCGGCGACUUGGUGUGGAGCAACACAGCUAGGAUCUUCUUGCAG
rnacentral:lncRNA from 1 species